GGAUUAGAUACCCUGGUAGUCCACGCCGUAAACGAUGUCUACUAGUUGUCGGGACUCUUGCAGUCUUGGUAACGCAGCUAACGCGAUAAGUAGACCGCCUGGGGAGUACGGCCGCAAGGUUAAAACUCAAAUGAAUUGACGGGGGCCCGCACAAGCGGUGGAGCAUGUGGUUUAAUUCGAGGCAACGCGAAGAACCUUACCUACUCUUGACAUCCAGAGAAGCCAGUAGAGAUACAGGUGUGCCUUCGGGAGCUCUGAGACAGGUGCUGCAUGGCUGUCGUCAGCUCGUGCCG
rnacentral:rRNA from 1 species